rnacentral:lncRNA from 1 species
GAUUGAAAGCGUUUGCGGAUGUGGGUGAUUGCGGUUUAAAGUGCUAUUAAGAUAUUUGUACGACCGGUAUAGAGGUUAGAAAUUGGUGCGUUUUUGGGAUACUUAUGGCUUGUUAAGACCAAACGCAGCAGUGGUUAAAUAAUAAAUUAACAAUAUUUAUAUUUUAUAUAAUUACAAAAUAUUAAAAAUCAUACUAUUAUAAUAAAUAUAAAAAUUAUAUUUAUAAAUUACACUAUUAAAUAUUA